AUAUUCACUCCCAAGUAGCUUACUCCUUGCUAUAUCUAACAUCACGGAUCUUUCCUCUGAUCAUACCCCAGUAAAGCUAGUCAUUGAUGGUGUAACAAAUCAAAUCCCAAUAAGAUCUUCCUUAACCUCAAGCCCAAUAAACUGGACCCACUACAAAAAGUACUUAAGCGACAAUACAAAAUUAGGCAUACCUCUUAAAACUGCCAAUGACCUCGAGUAAGCUUUUGUCACAUUUGUAGAAAUGAUCCAAUCCGCUUCUAAGCUGUCCUCGCGCCCAUGUAACAACUAUUUCACCAUAUCGAAAACAAUUCUAGACAAAUACCCACUCCCAGGCCACAUCAAUGUACUCAUAAGACAAAAAAGAAAAGCUCGUGUCAAAUGGCAAAUCACAGGUUACCCUAACGAUAAGCGGAUCUUCAAUAACCUAACCAACAAACUUAAAAGGCAACUCCAAAAUCACAAAAAUCAAUCCUAUGACAACUACAUCUCAAACCUAAAUCCAACUAACGGCUCGCUUU